rnacentral:rRNA from 1 species
UACGUAGGGACCAAGCGUUGUUCGGCUUUACUGGGCGUAAAGGGCGCGUAGGCGGCCCUCCAAGUCACUUGUGAAAUCUCCGGGCUUAACUCGGAACGGCCAAGUGAAACUGUAGAGCUAGAGUGUGGAAGGGGCAAUCGGAAUUCUUGGUGUAGCGGUGAAAUGCGUAGAUAUCGGGAGGAACACCAGUGGCGAAGGCGGCUUCCUGGCCUGUUCUUGACGCUGAGGCGCGAAAGCUAGGGGAGCAAACGGG